rnacentral:snRNA from 1 species
AGCUUUGCGCAGUGGCAGUAUCGUAGCCAAUGAGGUUUAUCCGAGGCGCGAUUAUUGCUAAUUGAAAUUUCUCUGGAUUUAGAGGCAAACUCAACAUUCCGAGGUGGGACUUUAGUUCUUAAGAAUAUGGUCAAUAACACACAAACCAGUACAAAAUGAAAAUGCUGUGCAAAAAUACUAUUUAUUUUAUAUUCUGAAUGCCUUUAAAAGU